rnacentral:misc_RNA from 1 species
GAUGAAGAACGUAGCGAAAUGCGAUAAGUAAUGUGAAUUGCAGAAUUCAGUGAAUCAUCGAGUCUUUGAACGCACAUUGCGCCCCCUGGUAUUCCGGGGGGCAUGCCUGUCCGAGCGUCAUUACUGCCCUCAAGCCCGGCUUGUGUGUUGGGCCCCGUCCUCCGAUCCCGGGGGACGGGCCCGAAAGGCAGCGGCGGCACCGCGUCCGGUCCUCGAGCGUAUGGGGCUUUGUCACCCGCUCUGUAGGCCCGGCCGGCGCUUGCCGAUCAACCCCAAUUUUUAUAGGUUGACCUCGGAUCAGGUAGGGAUACCCGCUGAACUUAAGCAUAUCAAUAAGCGGAGGA